UUUUCUGUAACAUUGUAAAGGAAGAAACAGUGAAAGCAGGAAAAAAAAUACUGUCAGACCUGUUUUCCGCACAGACAUCUUAUAAUACCAGUGACAUGGGCUAUUGUAGCACACAUGUUUAAUGGCUUCAAGAGCUAAUUUGAAUACCUGCUUCAACAUUUGAACUUUCUGUUCACAUUGUAAACAUGUCAAUGGUGGCACUCUUUCAGGAAAGAAAGGCAGGAUUUUUGCUUGUUCUGCACCACCUUUGUGGCUGCAUUGCCAAUAUAAAAAAGACAUGGCUCGUGGUGAGCUCUUCUGGAAUUUGUCCUCAGAUCUGUGGAAUGCAACAGGUAAACUGCACAGAGCAGACUGGAAACAUUUAAAGGGUUUCUAUGGGAUGACCCAUGUCAUGUUUCCUCUGAACUUUUCCAGGAAAUCAAAUAAGUAUGAAACCGUCUGGGGGGGGGCAUAAAUUAUAACAUUCAUCAUCCUUAUAGAUCGAUAAAACAGAAAACCUUGACUGUAGUGUCUGCUGCAUCAUACUUAAGCAGAGUAACGUGUUUCAUAUAGCUAGAAAUAAUCUACAAAUAUGAUGGCUGUGACAGAUAUUUAAUCUUAUUCAGCGUUUAAGGACAAUUAGAGAAGGAAGUGCAAAAAUCUAAUUAGUCUUGAGGCAAGUCUGUUUGCAUAUAUAAACAGUCUUUGGGGUCUUAAAUAUCUCUUCUAUUCAUAUUUACUCCUUCCUCAAAGAUAACUUGUAUGCCAUUUAAAACUGGUUGUUUGGAUGCAGGUACACUGCUGUAGUACAGGGAUGUUUUAAAUUUAUGUUAAACAUUGAAAGAGAAUUGAUAUGGAUCUUGACUUAUUUAUGCUGUCAAUAUUUUGUGAAAAUGAGAAUUUUUCAAGAGAUUUUACUAAAAACAAUUUCCCAGUUUUUGAACGUCUCUAAAUACCACAUUUAUAGUUCACAACUUACCUAAGGUUAUAAGAAAGUGUAUUUUAUGCUUGAAAUACAGUGUCACCAUGUGCAGAGCUAGAUGCUGCCACAGUCUAAAUGGGAAAACGUAUUCCACAAUAUCUUAGGCUAUGAGCACAGGCUGCACUUCUUGACAAGAAGGAAGAAGAUGGAAAGUUCGCCUCUAACAAGCACUGGAUUAAGCUUCAGAAGCAGAUAUUAGAUCCAUAUUAUUCUGGGGUUUUUGCACAGAAAUGGCUAGGUCUCUUCAUGGUAUUUUGCUGAACUUUGAAAUAUGGUGUGCACUGGGAAUAACACCGUAACUUUGGAACUUAGCAAGCAAGGCAGGAUUUUCAGCUGAUUUUUGGAUGUUAGGAGCCAGUGCCCAGGAUUUUCUGUAUCAAAUACAUGGAACCAGAAUGGGGGCAUAAUGGCAGGCAGGAAAGAGGAAUGUCACUUUUUAUUCACUUCCUGUCAUGGCCACACAUGUCAAGAAAAAAGUAUGAUAUUCAUAUGAUUUGUGUGAAGAGAACAGAAGGUGUCUCUGUCUCCAGGUCUCAGGUAGUUC